CCAGCAGAAAGAAUACAUAGGGAGAGGAACCUAGGAAGAAGAGAGAUGAACAAAGAGAACAAGGAGAAAGGGGGACACACCUGGAGCCAGAAGCCAGGCAGCCACCAGCCAGGCAGACACAGGGACAGCAGGAAAGUAGGAUACACAGAAAGAAAGAAGGUAAAAAGCCCCAAGGCAAAACAAACAUAGAAACAGUUUAAAAUAAGAGCUGAUAUAAAGCCAAGCAUUCAUAACUAAUAGGAAGGCUUCAUGUGAUGAUUUGGGAGCUGGUUGGUGGUCCGCUACACUCCUUCUCUCCCAUCUGAGUCAUUUUCUGGUGGUGUGAGGCUUCAUGGAAGGGCAGGACUUCCAGGACCUCUCCAAGAUUGCUGUGACUAUGGAGAAAGUCUCUGUGAUGGAGAUUCGAGGCUUUGCCUGGUAGUUUGUCUUUAAGGACUUCCAGAAAGGGAGGUUUAAGAGCCUGAAGAGGUAGAGUAUUUGGGACACCCACAUGUGACAUUUUGAAGCCAUGGAAACAUGCCGAGGCAGUAUUGGGUGUCAGUGCAUCACGGAUGGGUGCAAAGUCCUGCGCAUCUGUUACAAUGCAGUCUAUAAAAGAAUCAAGACGUUGUGGUCAUUCCACGUGCACGUUCUGCUUCCGAAUGUUUGGAUUUAAUCGUGGCAUCGCAUCAGAGAUGAACAAUAACAGUCCUUCUAAAACUUUAA